rnacentral:rRNA from 1 species
CCCUACGGGGCGCACCAGGCGGAUUAAUAAGUCAGUGGUGAAAUCCUACGGCUCAACUGUAGAACUGCCAUUGAUACUGUUAGUCUUGAGUAUUGUUGAGGUAGGCGGAAUGUGUCAUGUAGCGGUGAAAUGCUUAGAUAUGACACAGAACACCAAUCGCGAAGGCAGCUUACCAAGCAAUAACUGACGCUCAUGCACGAAAGCGUGGGGAUCAAACA